rnacentral:rRNA from 1 species
UACGAAGGGGGCUAGCGUUGUUCGGAGUUACUGGGCGUAAAGGGCGCGUAGGCGGCGCAUCAAGUCAGGCGUGAAAGCCCUGGGCUCAACCCGGGAAUUGCGCUUGAGACUGGUGUGCUUGAGUACGGGAGAGGAUAGUGGAAUUCCCAGUGUAGAGGUGAAAUUCGUAGAUAUCGGGAGGAACACCUGUGGCGAAAGCGGCGCACUGGACCACAACUGACGCUGAGGCGCGAAAGCUAGGGGAGCAAACAGG